GCACCGCUCAGUGGGUACAGCAUGAGACUCUGAAUCUCAGGGUUGUGGGUUUGAGCCCCACGUUGGGCA